AUGUUGCCUUAAAAAUUCUGACACUUUGUACCAGUUUCAGUCUAUUUGUCUUCCCCCUAUGUAUUUACAAAUGUGAUUUGAUUUGUUUAAAUUGGGUGUUGGGUCAAACUGGGGCGGGAGUGAUUUGAGUGCUUAGAGAAAUUUUCCUAGAGGAGAUGGAACUUGAUCGGGGAGGCCGCAAGCGGGGGGAGCCUUGAAGGUUGAGAAAGACAUUAAUGUCUCAGCAAACUCCAACCUGAGAAUUCAUGGCCAGGUAGCUUUUGGGGGAAGUGAGAGACCCUGGUGCCCAUGAAAAAUAAAAGGUGUCCUCUGUCUUCCCAGAGUUUCACAGACAUGAUGAAUUGUAACAUGCUGUCAAUGGUUCAGAUGACCCGGAUCAUCCUGCCUCAGAUGGUAGUCAGGGGACGACGAGUCAUCAUCAAUAUAUCCUCUAUGGCUGGCAGACAGCCUUCCCCAUUCUUGGCAUCAUAUGGGGCUACUAAGGUUAAUGGGUCCCACAUCUGAAAGAGGCCAGACCCUUUCAAGUUACCAGGAAGAAGAAACAGGUUGAGGCAUGGGGAUGGAAUGAACUGAGUGUCCCAUGUUGAUCUGAGAGCAGUAGGGUGGUGGGAGUGCCCCCUCUAUCCUGGAUUCCCUCAUAGUCAUUGGCCAACCAGCUCUCUCAGUUUCUGUUCUAGUGUAUAUAAACCAGAGAGUAGAUACUAAGCCCUUCACCCCUAUUCACCCACUACCCCUAUGGGUUCAGUAAUUUCAUAAUGGUAGGCCUCACACAGUGGUAAAAUGAAACCAGCCAAAGUCUGAGUGCCCUCUUACCAAGUGGAGCCCCAGGAGCCUCCUGGGAGAUAGCAAUGGAAGCUGAGGUUCACUUUUGCCUUUUGACACUGACAAAGCUUGCCACAUGAAGGAAGGACAGGAGAGUUCAUUAAGCAAAUAUUGACAUCUUGCUCAGUUCUGUGGUGAGCACUGUGGGUAUGGGUACAAGCAAAAUAAACAAUCUUUGCCCUAGGCUUGGGGAAUGGCG
rnacentral:lncRNA from 1 species